rnacentral:rRNA from 1 species
UUACGGUCAAAUCACGCUUGAAAACACCGGUUCUCGUUCGAUCACCGAAGUUAAGCAUCGUAGAGCCAGGUCAGUACUUAGAUGGGGGACCGCUUGGGGGGAACACCUGGUACUGUAAG